AUUGAACGCUGGCGGCAGGCCUAACACAUGCAAGUCGAGCGAGCGGCGGACGGGUGAGGAAUGUCUGGGAAACUGCCUGAUGGAGGGGGAUAACUACUGGAAACGGUAGCUAAUAACGCAUACCAUCAGAUGUGCGCAGAUGGGAAUAGCUAGUAGGUGGGGUAACGGCUCACCUAGGCGACGAUCCCUAGCUGGUCUGAGAGGAUGACCAGCCACACUGCAACUGAGACACGGUCCAGACUCCGACGGGAGGCAGCAGUGGGGAUUAUUGCUCAAUGGGCGCAAGCCUGAUGCAGCCAUGCCGCGUGUGUGAAGAAGGCUUUCGGGUUGUAAAGCACUUUCAGCGGGGAGGCGUUACCCGCAGAAGAAGCACCGGCUAACUCCGUGCCAGCAGCCGCGGUAAUAC
rnacentral:rRNA from 1 species